rnacentral:rRNA from 1 species
UACGGAGGGUGCGAGCGUUGUCCGGAAUCACUGGGCGUAAAGGGCGCGUAGGUGGCGGCCCAAGUCAACGGUGAAAGCUCGGCGCUCAACGCCGAGUCGGCCGUCGAUACUGGGUUGCUUGAGCACUGUAGGGGCCAAUGGAAUUCCGGGUGUAGCGGUGGAAUGCGUAGAGAUCCGGAAGAACACCGGUGGCGAAGGCGGGUCUCUGGGCCGUAACUGACGCUGAGGAGCGAAAGCGUGGGGAGCGAACAGG